UACGUAGGGCGCAAGCGUUGUCCGGAAUUAUUGGGCGUAAAGAGCUCGUAGGCGGCUUGUCACGUCGGGUGUGAAAGCCCGGGGCUUAACCCCGGGUCUGCAUUCGAUACGGGCUAGCUAGAGUGUGGUAGGGGAGAUCGGAAUUCCUGGUGUAGCGGUGAAAUUCGUAGAUAUCGAGAGGAACACCGGUGGCGAAGGCGGCCAACUGGACGAAUACUGACGCUGAGACUCGAAAGCGUGGGGAGCAAACAGG
rnacentral:rRNA from 1 species